rnacentral:rRNA from 1 species
AUUUUGCGGGCCGCGAAUUCGCCCUUAGAGUUUGAUCCUGUGCUCAAGAUGAACGCUGGCGGCGUGCCUAACACAUGCAAGUCGAGCGAAGCACAAGGAUACGAUUCUUCGGAUGAAGAUUCCUGUGACUAAGCGGCGGACGGGUGAGUAACGCGUGGGUAACCUGCCUUACACAGGCGGGAUAACAGUUAGAAAUGACUGCUAAUACCGCAUAAGACCACAGUACUGCAUGGUACAGUGGUAAAAACUGAGGUGGUGUAAGAUGGACCCGCGUCUGAUUAGGUAGUUGGUGGGGUAACGGCCCACCAAGCCGACGAUCAGUAGCCGGCCUGAGAGGGUGGACGGCCACAUUGGGACUGAGACACGGCCCAGACUCCUACGGGAGGCAGCAGUGGGGAAUAUUGCACAAUGGGGGAAACCCUGAUGCAGCGACGCCGCGUGAGCGAUGAAGUAUUUCGGUAUGUAAAGCUCUAUCAGCAGGGAAGAAAAUGACGGUACCUGACUAAGAAGCCCCGGCUAACUACGUGCCAGCAGCCGCGGUAAUACGUAGGGGGCAAGCGUUACCCGGAUUUACUGGGUGCAAAGGGAGCGUAGACGGCAUGGCAAGCCAGAUGUGAAAGCCCGGGGCUCAACCCCGGGACUGCUUUGGAAACUGUGCAUCUUGAGUACGGGAGGGGCAGGC